rnacentral:rRNA from 1 species
AUUGAACGCUGGCGGCAGGCCUAACACAUGCAAGUCGAGCGGGAACUUCGGUUCUAGCGGCGGACGGGUGAGUAAUGCGUAGGAAGCUACCCGAUAGAGGGGGAUACCAGUUGGAAACGACUGUUAAUACCGCAUAAUGUCUACGGACCAAAGUGUGGGACCUUCGGGCCACAUGCUAUCGGAUGCGCCUACGUGGGAUUAGCUAGUUGGUGAGGUAAUGGCUCACCAAGGCGACGAUCCCUAGCUGGUUUGAGAGGAUGAUCAGCCACACUGGAACUGAGACACGGUCCAGACUCCUACGGGAGGCAGCAGUGGGGAAUAUUGGACAAUGGGCGAAAGCCUGAUCCAGCCAUGCCGCGUGUGUGAAGAAGGCCUUCGGGUUGUAAAGCACUUUCAGCGAGGAGGAAGGGGUUGUAGUUAAUAGCUGCAACCUUUGACGUUACUCGCAGAAGAAGCACCGGCUAACUCUGUGCCAGCCGCCGCAGUAAAAC